AUUGAACGCUGGCGGAAUGCUUUACACAUGCAAGUCGAACGGCAGCACGGACUUCGGUCUGGUGGCGAGUGGCGAACGGGUGAGUAAUGUAUCGGAGCGUGCCCAGUCGUGGGGGAUAACGUAGUGAAAAUUACGCUAAUACCGCAUACGAUCCAUGGAUGAAAGCGGGGGAUCGCAAGACCUCGCGCGAUUGGAGCGGCCGAUAUCAGAUUAGGUAGUUGGUGGGGUAAAGGCCCACCAAGCCAACGAUCUGUAGCUGGUCUGAGAGGACGACCAGCCACACUGGAACUGAGACACGGUCCAGACUCCUACGGGAGGCAGCAGUGGGGAAUUUUGGACAAUGGGCGAAAGCCUGAUCCAGCCAUUCCGCGUGCAGGAUGAAGGCCCUCGGGUUGUAAACUGCUUUUGUACAGAACGAAAAGGUUUCUACUAAUACUAGGAGCUCAUGACGGUACUGUAAGAAUAAGCACCGGCUAACUACGUGCCAGCCGCCGCGGUAA
rnacentral:rRNA from 1 species